rnacentral:lncRNA from 1 species
AUUCUCUACUACAGAAGUGAGGAGUAGCAAUAUGGAAUGUGUCUUCUUCUAUUUCACACUCUCGGGAAUGAAAGGCACUUCCUCUGACCAGGAUUCUGAUGACUUUAGGUGAGUGAUGAGGGCAUCUAGGAUUGAAAGUACUUCCCCAGGGUGAGUUGUUUGUCAACAGCAGGU